GGUAAAGAGGAUGAGAAUGGGGUACGGACUUUAAAUUCCUGAAAAUGCCAUCCAUUUCCUGAUUUGCC
rnacentral:snoRNA from 1 species